rnacentral:rRNA from 1 species
UACGUAGGGGGGCAAGCGUUGUCCGGAUUUAUUGGGCGUAAAGCGCGUGUAGGCGGCCACGCAGGUCCGCUGUGAAAACUCGAGGCUCAACCUCGAGCUGUCGGUGGAAACCGCGUGGCUAGAGUCCGGAAGAGGGGACUGGAAUUCCCGGUGUAGCGGUGGAAUGCGCAGAUAUCGGGAGGAACACCCGUGGCGAAGGCGGGUCCCUGGGACGGUACUGACGCUGAGACGCGAAAGCGUGGGGAGCGAACAGG